rnacentral:tRNA from 1 species
AGCCCCAAGGUGUUAAACAUAUAAGAUUGCAAAUCUUGAGAGGCAGGCUAACACCUGCUGGGGCUU